UACGAAGGGGGCUAGCGUUGUUCGGAAUCACUGGGCGUAAAGCGUAUGCAGGCGGACCGUUAAGUCGGGGGUGAAAUCCCAGGGCUCAACCCUGGAACUGCCUUCGAUACUGGCGGCCUUCGAGUCCGGGAGAGGUGAGUGGAACUCCGAGUGUAGAGGUGAAAUUCAUAGAUAUUCGGAAGAACACCAGUGGCGAAGGCGGCUCACUGGCCCGGUACUGACGCUGAGAUACGAAAGCGUGGGGAGCAAACAGG
rnacentral:rRNA from 1 species